rnacentral:rRNA from 1 species
AUUGAACGCUGGCGGCAGGCUUAACACAUGCAAGUCGAGCGGGGUGAUGGUGCUUGCACUAUCACUUAGCGGCGGACGGGUGAGUAAUGCUUAGUAAUCCGCCUAUUAGUGGGGGACAACAUCUCGAAAGGGAUGCUAAUACCGCAUACGUCCUACGGGAGAAAGCAGGGGACCACUUGUGACCUUGCGCUGAUAGAUGAGCCUAAGUCGGAUUAGCUAGUUGGUGGGGUAAAGGCCUACCAAGGCGACGAUCUGUAGCGGGUCUGAGAGGAUGAUCCGCCACACUGGGACUGAGACACGGCCCAGACUCCUACGGGAGGCAGCAGUGGGGAAUAUUGGACAAUGGGGGGAACCCUGAUCCAGCCAUGCCGCGUGUGUGAAGAAGGCCUUAUGGUUGUAAAGCACUUUAAGCGAGGAGGAGGCUCUUUUGGUUAAUACCCAAGAUGAGUGGACGUUACUCGCAGAAUGAGCACCGGCUAACUCUGUGCCAGCCGCCGCUGUAA